rnacentral:misc_RNA from 1 species
ACCCAAUAACGCAUGAUACAUACCUAUCAAUGUAUUCAAAAACCAAUUAACAAGUAUAUAGGCUUGAUCUUUGUUUUCAACAGAAGAAUCAAAAUACGAGUCCACCUAUAGGGAAAUGAUGCUAGCAUGCCAUAAAAUAAAGAAGCCAGCAUCAGUAUGUGGUAAUGAAGAUAAAGCAAGAUGAUAUAAUAUCCCAAGAAAUUUCUAGGAGAAAACAUAAAACAUAAAAGAAGACAUACCCACG